rnacentral:rRNA from 1 species
AGGGUUUGAUCCUGGCUCAGAAUGAACGUUGGCGGCGUGGAUUAGGCAUGCAAGUCGUGCGGCAGCAGGCCCCGCAAGGGGUGCUGGCGAGCGGCGUAAGGGAGAGUAACACGCGGGUACCUGCCCUCAGGACCGGGAUAGCUGCGGGAAACUGCAAUUAAUACCGGAUGAUGUCUCCGGACCAAAGGUGUGAUUCCGCCGGAGGAGGGGCCCACGUCCUAUCAGCUAGUUGGAGAGGUAAAGGCUCACCAAGGCAAAGACGGGUACGGGGUGUGAGAGCAUGCCCCCGCUCACUGGGACUGAGACACUGCCCAGACACCUACGGGUGGCUGCAGUCGAGAAUCUUCCGCAAUGGGCGAAAGCCUGACGGAGCGACGCCGCGUGCGGGAUGAAGGCCUUCGGGUUGUAAACCGCUGUCAGUGGGGAGGAAAUGCAUGAGGGUUCUCCCUUGUGCUUGACCGAUCCGCAGAGGAAGCGCAGGCUAAGUUCGUGCCAGCAGCCGCGGUAACACGAACUGCGCGAACGUUAUUCGGAAUCACUGGGCUUAAAGAGUUCGUAGGCGGCGCGUUAAGUCGGGUGUGAAAUCCCUCGGCCCAACCGAGGAAUUGCGCUCGAAACUGGCGUGCUUGAGUAAGAUAGAGGUGAGCGGAACUGAUGGUGGAGCGGUGAAAUGCGUUGAUAUCAUCAGGAACACCGGUGGCGAAAGCGGCUCACUGGGUCUUUACUGACGCUGAGGAACGAAAGCUAGGGGAGCGAACGGGAUUAGAUACCCCGGUAGUCCUAGCCGUAAACGAUGAGCACUAGGUUGAGGGGACCUCCACAUCCCCUCGGCCGUAGCGAAAGUGUUAAGUGCUCCGCCUGGGGAGUAUGGUCGCAAGGCU